ensembl:lncRNA
GGAAAACAUGAUGGAGAGGUAGAGGUCAGGAUGGUUCUUCAACAUGGUGGAGAGGUAGAGAUCAGGAUGGUUCUUCAACAUGUAAGAGAGGUAGAGGUCAGGAUGGUUCUUCAACAUGGUGGAGAGGUAGAGGUCAGGAUGAUUCUUCAACAUGGUGGAGAGGUAGAGGUCAGGAUGGUUCUUCAACAUGUAAGAGAGGUAGAGAUCAGGAUGAUUCUUCAACAUGUAAGAGAGGUAGAGGUCAGGAUGGUUCUUCAACAUGUAAGAGAGGUAGAGGUCAGGAUGGUUCUUCAACAUGUAAGAGAGGUAGAGGUCAGGAUGGUUCUUCAACAUGUAAGAGAGGUAGAGGUCAGGAUGGUUCUUCAACAUGGUGGAGAGGUAGAGAUCAGCCAGCUCUUUGUAACAUCGAUAGGUUUCGGCUACUACG